rnacentral:rRNA from 1 species
GGAUUGCCUCAGUAACGGCGAGUGAAGCGGCAACAGCUCAAAUUUGAAAUCUGGCCCCCCGGGUCCGAGUUGUAAUUUGCAGAGGAUGCUUUGGGCGAGGCGCCGUCCGAGUUCCUUGGAACGGGACGCCGUAGAGGGUGAGAGCCCCGUACGGUCGGAUGCCGAGCCUCUGUAAAGCUCCUUCGACGAGUCGAGUAGUUUGGGAAUGCUGCUCUAAAUGGGAGGUAAAUCUCUUCUAAAGCUAAAUACUGGCCACAGACCGAUAGCGCACAAGUAGAGUGAUCGAAAGAUGAAAAGUACUUUGAAAAGAGAGUUAAACAGCACGUGAAAUUGUUGAAAGGGAAGCGCUUGUGACCAGACGUGUGUCGGGUGAAUCAGCUGGCGUUCGCGCCAGUGCACUUCGCCCGGCACAGGCCAGCAUCGGUUCGCCGCUGGGGAGAAAGACGGCGGGAAUGUGGCUCCUCGGAGUGUUAUAGCCCACCGUGUAAUACCCUCCGGCGGACCGAGGUUCGCGCUCCGCAAGGAUGCUGGCGUAAUGGUCAUCAGCGACCCGUCUUGAAACACGGACCAAGGAGUCGUCCUAGUAUGCGAGUGUUUGGGUGCCAAACCCCUACGCGAAAUGAAAGUGAACGGAGGUGAGAGCUUCGGCGCAUCAUCGACCGAUCCUGAUGUCUUCGGAUGGAUUUGAGUACGAGCAUACUGGGCCGGACCCGAAAGAAGGUGAACUAUGCCUGUAUAGGGUGAAGCCAGAGGAAACUCUGGUGGAGGCUCGCAGCGGUUCUGACGUGCAAAUCGAUCGUCAAAUAUGGGCAUGGGGCGAAAGACUA